rnacentral:siRNA from 1 species
UGUGAUGCCCUUAGAUGUUCU